rnacentral:rRNA from 1 species
AUUGAACGCUGGCGGCAGGCCUAACACAUGCAAGUCGAACGAGUGGCGGACGGGUGAGUAAUGUCUGGGAAACUGCCUGAUGGAGGGGGAUAACUACUGGAAACGGUAGCUAAUACCGCAUACCAUCAGAUGUGCCCAGAUGGGAUUAGCUUGUUGGUGGGGUAACGGCUCACCAAGGCGACGAUCCCUAGCUGGUCUGAGAGGAUGACCAGCCACCCUGGAACUGAGACACGGGCGCGAGCCCUACGGGAGACAACAGUGGGGAGUAUUGCACAAUGGGCGAAAGCCUGAUGCAGCCAGGGCUCGUGUAUGAAGAAGGCCUUCGGGUUGUAAAGUACUUUCAGCGGGGAGGCGUUACCCGGAGAAGAAUCUCCGGCUAACUCCUUGCCAGCAGCCGCGGUAAUUC